UCUGAAACCGCACCGAGGCAGAUAGUUUUUUUCCACACUGACGUAAAUAAAAUAUAGAGUAUUAUUGGCAAAUAAAUAUUCUAUACGAUACAUGUAGUGCGCGAUUUUGAUCAACCUACGGAUACCGGCUGGAAUACAGACCUGACGAGCGUGGCAAUGGUCCAAGAAAAGAGGCCACGAAGAAAAGCUGCUGAACUUCGAAUGUUCCAUGAAACAACCGUCAUCAGCUGACGUCACUAUAUGCUGCAGAACCUCAGUUUCCUCGACAGCAAGUUAGAGCCCAUCACCGCAAUCGCACCUUUUGUGUUGCUUUUUUGCCCUGCUACGACAGAGACUCGUUAUCACCUGUUAUCGACAAUGCGUGGGAUGUUUGACACGGACACGGAAGAUCAUAUUAUGGACCUGCUGUGUGGUGGUUCCUGGAUUAAUUGUUUUGGAUUAGAGCCGAGGCUAGCGUCUCUACGACGAAUGGCAAAAGUUUGAAUCUUCUCACGGAUAUGGAGCUAUAGAGCAUGCAUCGGAGAAAACCUUGUAAAGUGCUGGCGGAUCGCACCCUUAUUUUGCCUUCCAAAUCAGCACACAUCGCACAAUGAGUGUAUAAAUCUGGAAGGGGGAGUAAUUAUGCGCAAUGUUAUUUUGGAAGGCAGUGAUUCAGAUCCACGAGAAGCAAAACAAGCUGGUAAAGAAGGAGCUACUAGUAACGCCAACGACGAUGGAACGGUCGGGAAAUGUUUGACUUGUUUUCGAUAAGUUGGCUACAACGGUGACUUUUUCUGCCGGUUUCCAGACUCCCCGGAUGUAAAAGCUAUUCACUUCCGGAACCACUUCAAUCCGGUCUAGAAGGUAACAUUUAAAGAACUCCCAAUGCUGGUGGACGCGACAAUUCAUAAGGCAAACAAGGGAACCGAAACUUGACACUGACUAAAAUUGGAAUUGUCUAAAAUGAUCGACAAAAUACGACCUUCAACGGAUAUGCUAAGUCCGUCAAGAGCUGGAAUUUGGAAAAGGAUUCCGACAGCAAUCAAAUAAUAUGCCAAAUGGCUCGUACCACAUCAACUUAUGAAGGCAAACAUCGGAACCGUGAUGUUAUUAGGAAUGGCUGCAUAUACACUGCUCACUAAUAACUGUGGAAGUGCUUAAUGAACACUAAGCUGCGAGGCGGCUCUGUCCCAGUGUGGGGUGUAAUGCCAAUAAGAAGAAGAAGGUACCGUCAACUGGGGGGAAGAUGAUCAUUUUUAAGACAAAACAUGCAAUAACAAUGGGUGUUUACAUUUUAAAUCGAAACAAAUAUUUUCAAAACAUGUACUGCUAUACGUUGCAAUAAUCAACAACUUUAGUUUUCUGAAAUGCAUUCGCAUUUAUUAAAAUAAAUUAAAUUAUCACACAUUUUUUGAGUAAUCUGGUUUGGGGUGAAGUUGAUCAAGACAGCUCUACUAAAAUCAUUAUGACCUAGUAGUCAAAAUACACUAGGUUAUUUGUAUGAAUGUUGAAUUUACUACGUAAAGAAGUCUACGAAGUCAAUAUUUGAAACGAAAAUAGCGUCAUUUAUGACUAUCUCUCUCUUUCUUCCACAAAAUGCAUUUUCAUGAUUAUAAUCGUAAAACUCGGAUUUUUACCUAGCGGUAACAUUACUUGAACGGAGAAUAUUGUUGACUACCGUUUCAAAAAAAAAAAAUGAUCAUCUUUACCUCAAUGAUCAUCUUCCCCCCAGUUGACGGUAUUGGUUACAAAAGUUUCAUGGUUUGCUAAGAGCGGAAUUUCAGUUCAAUGUCUGGAAGUAGUUACGGUUUUACCUAGUCAUUCGAUAAUAAAUAUGUAGAAACCGGAAGCAGCUGUUAAUCGUCGCAAACCUAAAAAUAAGGUGGUAUACUCCGACGGCCUUGUGUUGGAACCAAUAAAGGGGUUCAGGAUAACAACAUUUGCUUUACUACGACUACCGAUGCAGAAGAUUAUGAGAACGCCGGCGCUCAGAUCCUCCAAAGAAGCAAAAUGGGAAUAUUGCCAAAUUCGGAAACUCGUCGAGAGCAGAAAAUUAGUGAAACAGCUAAUGAAAACAAUAUUCGCCAGAUGCGCUCAAUUUUUCAUUUUUCAUUGAUUAUAUUUACGGAGAUACAUUUGCAUGACUUGGUAACUCGCAUUGCUGCCCACACUACCGUAAUAUGUAAUAAAUUAC